AGCAGCCGCGGUAAUUCCAGCUCCAAUAGCGUAUAUUAAAGUUGUUGCAGUUAAAAAGCUCGUAGUUGAACUUCGGGAUUUACCCAUUGGUCAGGCUUAAUUGUCUGUACUGGUGAGAUAAAUCUCUACCUCCUGAGGAACUUUCAUGCCAUUUAUUUGGUGUGAUUGGAAAUCAGGACUAUUACUUUGAAAACAUUAGAGUGUUUAAAGCAGGCUAACGUCUGAAUAUAUUAGCAUGGAAUAAUGAAAUAGGACGGCUUGGUUCUAUUUCGUUGGUUUCUAGGAUCACCGUAAUGAUUAAUAGGGAUAGUUGGGGGCAUUAGUAUUCAAUUGUCAGAGGUGAAAUUCUUGGAUUUAUUGAAGACUAACUACUGCGAAAGCAUUUGCCAAGGAUGUUUUCAUUAAUCAAGAACGAAAGUUAGGGGAUCGAAGACGAUCAGAUACCGCCGU
rnacentral:rRNA from 1 species